rnacentral:rRNA from 1 species
ACACACCGCCCGUCACACCAUGGGAGUUGGAAAUGCCCGAAGUCAGUGGCCCAACCGGAAGGGGGAGCUGCCGAAGGCAGGUUCGAUGACUGGGGUGAAGUCGUAACAAGGUAAC